rnacentral:rRNA from 1 species
ACCAAGCCUGUGAUCCGUAGCUGGUCUGAGAGGAUGAUCAGCCACACUGGGACUGAGACACGGCCCAGACCCCUACGGGAGGCAGCAGUGGGGAAUAUUGGACAAUGGGCGCAAGCCUGAUCCAGCAAUGCCGCGUGAGUGAUGAAGGCCUUCGGGUUGUAAAGCUCUUUCGCACGCGAGGAUGAUGACGGUAGCGUGAGAAGAAGCCCCGGCUAACUUCGUGCCAGCAGCCGCGGUAAUACGAAGGGGGCGAGCGUUGUUCGGAUUUACUGGGCGUAAAGGGCGCGUAGGCGGUGCUCCAAGUCAGGCGUGAAAGCCCCGGGCUCAACCUGGGAAUUGCGCUUGGGACUGGAGGACUGGAGUUCGGGAGAGGAGCGUGGAAUUCCCAGUGUAGAGGUGAAAUUCGUAGAUAUUGGGAAGAACACCGGUGGCGAAGGCGGCGCUCUGG